rnacentral:rRNA from 1 species
GGACUACCGGGGUAUCUAAUCCCGUUUGCUCCCCUAGCUUUCGUGUCUCAGUGUCAGCACACUCCCAGUCAGCUGUUUUCACCAUUGGCGUUCCAAAUGAUAUCUACGCAUUUCACCGCUCCACCAUUUGUUCCGCUGACCCCUAAGUGGCUCAAGACCAGCAGUAUACCCAGCAGUUCCACGGUUGAGCCGUGGGAUUUCACAAGGUACUUACCAGUCCACCUACACACGCUUUAAGCCCAGUGAUUCCGCCUAACGCUUGGCACCUCUGUCUUACCGCGGCUGCUGGCAC